GGGCCCGCACAAGCGGCGGAGCAUGUGGCUUAAUUCGAUGCAACGCGAAGAACCUUACCUAGGCUUGACAUGCAAGGAAAUCUCCCAGAGAUGGGAGGUCCGCAAGGGCUUUGCACAGGUGGUGCAUGGCUGUCGUCAGCUCGUGUCGUGAGAUGUUGGGUUAAGUCCCGCAACGAGCGCAACCCUCGUCCUAUGUUGCCAGCGAGUCAUGUCGGGGACUCAUAGGAGACCGCCGGGGUCAACUCGGAGGAAGGUGGGGAUGACGUCAAGUCAUCAUGCCCCUUAUGUCUAGGGCUGCACACAUGCUACAAUGGCCGGUACAAAGGGCUGCGAUACCGCAAGGUGGAGCGAAUCCCAUAAAGCCGGUCUCAGUUCGGAUUGGGGUCUGCAACUCGACCCCAUGAAGUCGGAGUCGCUAGUAAUCGCAGAUCAGCAACGCUGCGGUGAAUACGUUCCCGGGCCUU
rnacentral:rRNA from 1 species